UACGUAGGUGGCAAGCGUUGUCCGGAUUUAUUGGGUUUAAAGGGUGCGUAGGCGGCUUUGUAAGUCAGUGGUGAAAUAUGGCAGCUCAACUGUCAAGGUGCCAUUGAUACUGCGGAGCUUGAGUACAGAUGAGGUAGGCGGAAUUGACGGCGUAGCGGUGAAAUGCUUAGAUAUCGAUCAAGAACACCUAUAGCGAAGGCAGCUUACUAGGCUGUAACUGACGCUGAGGCACGAAAAGUGUGGGGAUCAAACAGG
rnacentral:rRNA from 1 species